rnacentral:SRP_RNA from 1 species
UGUCAGGGCUGUGGAGUGUCGGCAGAUGAAUUUGGUCAGGACCGAAAGGUAGCAGCCACAGUUUGUCCGUCAUUGCCGCAGUUCCUGGCAGUA